AUUUAAAAACAAAACAAUUUUAAAUAUUCAAAUGAAUUUAGCUUGCAAUCGAAUACUGGACAUUCGAAAUUUAGCAUCAAACUAAAUCCAUUACAACCAUCAACCAUCAGUUUAGAUAUGACAAUCAUGAUUUUGCAAACAACAUUCUUCGAAUCAAAGCCAACGUGUUACAAUCGACAUAUUUAUGUAACCCCAACUUCUUAUAGCUGCAUCAACUUCCAAGCACCAACGCUUGAUCAAGUCAGGAUGAUGAUCAUUAGACCAGGAAUUAUUGGCAUGUUCACUGUGGAGAUGAUAAAUUUAAAUUAAGUAAAUUAUCAAUUACAAAACUUAUCAUAUAA